rnacentral:rRNA from 1 species
AUUGAACGCUGGCGGCAGGCCUAACACAUGCAAGUCGAACGAGUGGCGGACGGGUGAGUAACGCGUGGUAACCUGCCUAAGAGCGGGGGAUAACUAUUGGAAACGAUAGCUACUACCGCAUACUGUGAGAUGGACCUGCGUUGUCUUAGCUAGUUGGUGAGGUAAAGGCUCACCAAGGCGAAGAUACAUAGCCGACCUGAGAGGGUGCCCAGCCAACCUGGAACUGGGACACGGUCCAGACUCCUCCGGGAGGCAGCAGUGGGGAAUAUUGCACAAUGGGCGCAAGCCUGAUGCAGCCAUGCCGCGUGUAUGAAGAAGGCCUUCGGGUUGUAAAGUACUUUCAGCGGGGAGGCGUUACCCGCAGAAGAAGCCCCGGCGAACUCCGUGCCAGCAGCCGCGGUAAUU